AGCUUGGGGGCCAGGACUAACACAUGCAAUCGGAGCGGUAGAGAGAAAGCUUGCUUCAUCUUGAAAAACCGGCGGACGGGGGAGUAAUACCCUAGGAAUCUACCCGAUAGUGGGGGGAAAAAGUUCGGAAACGGAACGCUAAUACCGCAUACGUCCUACGGGAGAAAGCAGGGGGACCUUUCGGGCCCUGCGCUAUCAGAUGAGCCCUAGGUCGGAUUAGCUAGUUGGUGAGGUAAAUGACUCACACAAAGCUACGAUCCGUAACUGGUCUGAGAGGAUGAUCAGUCACACUGGAACUGAGACACGGUCCAGACUCCUACGGGAGGCAGCAGUGGGGAAUAUUGGACAAUGGGCGAAAGCCUGAUCCAGCCAUACCGCGUGUGUGAAGAAGGUCUUCGGAUUGUAAAGCACUUUAAGUUGGGAGGAAGGGCAUUAACCUAAUACGUUAGUGUCUUGACGUUACCGACAGAAUAAGCACCGGCUAACUCUGUGCCAGCAGCCGCGGUAAUACAGAGGGUGCAAGCGUUAAUCGGAAUUACUGGGCGUAAAGCGCGCGUAGGUGGUUUGUUAAGUUGAAUGUGAAAUCCCCGGGCUCAACCUGGGAACUGCAUCCAAAACUGGCAAGCUAGAGUAUGGUAGAGGGUAGUGGAAUUUCCUGUGUAGCGGUGAAAUGCGUAGAUAUAGGAAGGAACACCAGUGGCGAAGGCGACUACCUGGACUGAUACUGACACUGAGGUGCGAAAGCGUGGGGAGCAUACAAAAUUAGAUACCCUGGUAGUCCACGCCGUAAACGAUGUCAAGGAGCCGUUGGGAGUCUCGAACUCAUAGAGCGCAGCUAAGGCCCUAAGUUCAACGCUUUGGGGUUGCCC
rnacentral:rRNA from 1 species